UGCAUUUGAUGUUAGACCCAUCCGCAGU
rnacentral:piRNA from 1 species